CCAGACUCCUACGGGAGGCAGCAGUGGGGAAUAUUGCACAAUGGGCGAAAGCCUGAUGCAGCAACGCCGCGUGAAGGAAGACGGUUCUCGGAUUGUAAACUUCUGUUCUUAGCGAAGAAUAAUGACGGUAACUAAGGAGCAAGCCACGGCAAACUACGUGCCAGCAGCCGCGGAAAUACGUAGGUGGCAAGCGUUGUCCGGAAUUACUGGGUGUAAAGGGAGCGUAGGCGGGAAGCCAAGUCAGCUGUGAAAACUACGGGCUUAACCUGUCGACUGCAGUUGAAACUGGCUUUCUUGAGUGAAGUAGAGGUUGACGGAAUUCCGAGUGUAGCGGUGAAAUGCGUAGAUAUUCGGAGGAACACCGGUGGCGAAGGCGGCCAACUGGGCUUUAACUGACGCUGAGGCUCGAAAGUGUGGGGAGCAAACAGGAUUAGAUACCCCUGUAA
rnacentral:rRNA from 1 species